GCCCGGCUAGCUCAGUCGGUAGAGCAUCAGACUCUUAAUCUGAGGGUCGCGGGUUCGAGUCCCGCGUCGGGUA
rnacentral:tRNA from 1 species